UACGGGGGAUGCAAGCGUUAUCCGGAUUUAUUGGGUUUAAAGGGUGCGUAGGCGGAUUUUUAAGUCAGCGGUAAAAUGUCCGGGCUCAACCCGGGCCGGCCGUUGAAACUGGGGAUCUUGAGUGGGCGAGAAGUAUGCGGAAUGCGUGGUGUAGCGGUGAAAUGCAUAGAUAUCACGCAGAACUCCGAUUGCGAAGGCAGCAUACCGGCGCCCGACUGACGCUGAGGCACGAAAGCGUGGGGAUCGAACAGG
rnacentral:rRNA from 1 species